AUGCUUGCUUCGGUAGCACAUAUACCAAAAUCGGAACAAUGCAUAGAUUAGUAUAGCCCCUGUGCAAGGAUGACAUGCAAAUUCAUGAAGUGUUUCAUAUUAAA